AGAUCUUAUUCUAUGCUGUAUUUUUCUGAUCGUGCAGCUGAGAGUUAGAAGGAGAACAAAAAAUUUUAUGAAACGAGGUCCGGUAGAAUUUCCUUCCCCGAGCACCCUCCCACGUGCCCUCCUGCUCCGCGCAGUGCUAUCCUCGAUCCAGCCAGCGCCCCAGAUAGUCCUGUCCUCGCUCCACCCAGCGCCAAUGCCGCGGAUCGUCCUCGCUCCAGCCAGCACCGGCGCCCUCCCCUGUGGUACCCCGCCCUCCCAAGGCGUCUGAUCGGACCACGGUCCCCCGCCCUCCAGCCAGCGCCGGCGCCAUCACCAGGUCAAGCCGGGGAGAAGGCCAGUCAAGAUCGAUCGACGAGGUGAGUACAGGGAGAAGCCCAGCCCCAUCAACUUUGAUCGAUCCUCUGAAACCCUCGCUCCAACCUUUUGGGAUCGAUCCGCCGCUGCGCGAUUCCGCAGAUACGAGGUAUUAUUUUGGAACGCGUUCUCUGGCAAUGAUCCUAAAAGGCCUUUGACGAACUCCGAAAUAGUAGGAGAAGUAAGCCACACUGUAAAGAAAUCAACUACAGAUCCUCUAAUUGUAUCGCUACGCUUCUGCUACAUAUUCAUUUUGUUGAUCAAGUGUUGUUGACAAUAUUAGCCAUCUCAAGACAAAGACAAAUCAAAAUAAUUUGAAGUUUGAAAAGGAGAAGGGGAUAUCACCAAAAAUACAAAAACCUAUAGAUGAUAAAAAUAUUGGAACAGAUUCAGACUCGACUCGAUGUCGAGGAAGGCUUCGCAAAGAUGAACAAAGACACUAAGCAUAGUGAUGGAGUUUGGAUUUAAGUGGUGGAGCUCGAUUUGGUACCAGUCAAGUACAUUGAGAAGAAACUUAGAAGGGGGAACGUUGAAUCCACAUCGGAAGAAGGAUUCAAAAACCAUGAUCUCAUAAUCAAAUCGGCAAGAUGGGAAUUCCUCACCAGAUGCAAGCCUCUAGUCGACCAGAUCGUGAUGAGGUACUAUCCCUUCAACUUGAAGCUCCUUUACCCUUGAUUCUUGCAUCAAUGAAAUCACACCAACUUCAGUCAGGUGCUUCAUCUCGUCUAUCUGCUCAAGGGAGGCACCGUCGGUCUUCAUGUCGGGCUGUUUCUCCAGUGAAGAAGGAGCGAGGUCUUCGCAGGGGAGCCGGAAUCCACGAGUCCAAGUCUUUCGACAGCGGUGCGUGUUUGGGUAGAGAAAUAUGAAAGCUUGUGCGAGAAGGUUGAGGGCAAGAGUGAGAAAGAAUUGCUAUAGUUCAGAUUUGUACAGAUAAAUAACCCAAAAUUUAUCGCCUUUUUGGUAACCACUCAUGUCUCUAUGGUGCUUUGAUCGGUGUGAAAGACAAGAUGAUGGCAUUGUGAGUCUCCGCACACCCGUUUGCGUGCAUUAAAUGCUCCUGUACCCAACGGUUCAAAUUUCGAAGGUUUUUUUUAACUCUACUCGGAGUCUAGUGUCGAUCAUCGAGGUUUUAGUCCUCCUUUUGAAUCUCAAGUGCGGUUAACACUAGGGUGCUCGACUCAAGUGCGUUUCCACUCGAUACUCGGAACAUGAUCCGUUUUCUGCUAGAUUCUUUUGACUGCAAGCCUGCUCCACCUUACUCGACUAGACUUAGACUUGGUAGUACUCGAGUGGGCACUUGUAUAAACUUUUCCUCCUGAGCAAAGUUAGAGGGCUACUAUCGAAUAUCUAACUAUGAGGUAUAUACGUAUAAAGAAUACACUAUAUAUAGACAGGGUAUACCCUGAACAUUUAUAAUAACUUUAGAUACUACGGAACCGAAUCUACGGUAUUUGAUACAUCCAGAAAUCUAGAAGACAUAUACUAGGAAUGUCUCGAUUGGAUGCCCAACUCUAGAACAACUAGUAAUAGUCGAUAUGGAGUCCAUUUUGUCCACCAUGACAAAGCAGAUGAAUUUGACUUGGAUACUAAAAAUAUCUCGAUUGGUUGCCCAAACUCUAGAACGACUAGUAUCCAAGUUGGAUUCAUCUGCUUUGUUAUGGUGGACAAGAUGAAGGACUUCAUAUUGACUAUGUUUGGAUAGGACGCGGCAUAUCAGUCUUAUAUAAAGCGGGAACCCAAACCCCCGAGAGAAAAAACUCAAGGCACAUCAAGACAUAUACAUCUCAACGCAAGCACCAAGACCCUAGCAUAGGACUAGUCCCUGUAAUAGGUCUGAUCUACUCUCUGUAAUAGGUCUGGUCACAUUGUUUGUAUUUGAGUUGAUCAAUACUAUAAUAACAUCCAAACAGAACUAGAGGAUUACUCCUUCCGAAUGCUCGAACCUGUCUACAUCACGUAUCUCGAUUCGUAUUCAAUUUCUGAUCUCAAUGGUACCUCAGUCAAUUACGAACAUAUUGUCGUAAACAAAUCUUUGACAAUUUGACAUGUCCUUAUGAAUUUUAUUUGUCACUAAUAUUGCUAAUUUUUUGUUAUCUUAAUAUGUAUGGACAAGUUGCAAGGAUGUGUCGCGUUAUUUUGUAUUAGUUCCACCUAAUCAAUUAUAUUAUUUGUAAAAACUUUAGGCUCCUGGCACAUCAGACGUCCAGGCACCACUCACGAAAAAGAUACAGGGAUGAAAAAAGUAGAAAUACUAUAUUAUGGUGAAAACUUGAUUUAAUGUUUGGAACAUAAUAAAAAUCCUUAUGGCAUAUCUUCUUAAUAUGAUUAGCCUCGAUAAAAUUUCUUUGUGAAAAAAGGUGAAAACUGUUCACGACAUGGACUAUCUUUCUGCAGCUUUUCUUGUUCUAAAUGAUUGUUCGAGAAAAGGAUUCAUUGUCUUCUUUAGGAGUAUAUUUAGCAUACGUUUUUCUUUCUGAAACAAGAGUCCUCUAAUAGACCAAGGGUUUGUUUGUUUCAGUCUAGUCUUUAGAAUUCGUAAAAACCACUUUCCAUUAGGUUAUGGAUUAUAGAAUUUCAUAUUAUAAUGUGAAUUGUCAAAAUCAACUUUCAGAUUGACCAUUUCUUUUUGCUUUUGGUCUAGAAUUUAUAAUUAGAAUAAAAACAAAUAGGAUUUAAACCAGCCUAGCAAUUACACAAGGUGAACAUUCUGUUAUAUGUUUUUUGGCACAAAAAAAAUUAUCUUUAAGACAGUUGAAAAUUUAAGAUUCGCAAACCAAAAUUAGCAUUUUGAAUUUUAUUUGUCUAUUUAGAUGCUAAACCGCACUAGUCAAUUACUCGAGGCGUUGCCCGUGGAGUUCCUUUUAUACUAAGCACUAAAUUGUAACUAUGGUGGAUUAAUAGAUAGAGUUGCAUAGUUGACACUACUUCUGAAUAACUCUGAAUGUACAUAGAUAUUUUUCCAAAUUAUUGUGAUACUUCAAAAUUCCUGCAAAACUCAAUCAAAGAGGUUGUAGUUUCAUGUGCUAGAAUGGUAUACUUCUUUACUUUUCUACUAGUUUCAUAUGAAAUGCAGUGAUACUCAACCAACGGAACAGCGCUCGGUUCUCUCUAGACCACACAUAUCAUAUCACAAGUCGUAAUUGGCUGUCCUAGCAUGACCGUAAUGGAGAUCUGUGAAUAUGAACGACAGAAACUUUAUAUUGGAGAUUGAGUAUCAAUGUACUUCAUAACUCAAACCAACAAAUGCCAUGGUUUAUAGCAUUUUUUCCCGUCCCAACCAUGUGAAGUUAUGAACUUGUGGAUACUAGCAAUCACGUACGUGAUUAAUUUUAAUUGUGAAUUGUUUGAUCAUAUGCGAUGAAGAUCGCUCGA